rnacentral:rRNA from 1 species
GAGUAGGGCGGGACACGUGGUAUCCUGUCUGAAUAUGGGGGGACCAUCCUCCAAGGCUAAAUACUCCUGACUGACCGAUAGUGAACCAGUACCGUGAGGGAAAGGCGAAAAGAACCCCGGCGAGGGGAGUGAAAAAGAACCUGAAACCGUGUACGUACAAGCAGUGGGAGCACGCUUAGGCGUGUGACUGCGUACCUUUUGUAUAAUGGGUCAGCGACUUAUAUUCUGUAGCAAGGUUAACCGAAUAGGGGAGCCGAAGGGAAACCGAGUCUUAACUGGGCGUUAAGUUGCAGGGUAUAGACCCGAAACCCGGUGAUCUAGCCAUGGGCAGGUUGAAGGUUGGGUAACACUAACUGGAGGACCGAACCGACUAAUGUUGAAAAAUUAGCGGAUGACUUGUGGCUGGGGGUGAAAGGCCAAUCAAACCGGGAGAUAGCUGGUUCUCCCCGAAAGCUAUUUAGGUAGCGCCUCGUGAAUUCAUCUCCGGGGGUAGAGCACUGUUUCGGCAAGGGGGUCAUCCCGACUUACCAACCCGAUGCAAACUGCGAAUACCGGAGAAUGUUAUCACGGGAGACACACGGCGGGUGCUAACGUCCGUCGUGAAGAGGGAAACAACCCAGACCGCCAGCUAAGGUCCCAAAGUCAUGGUUAAGUGGGAAACGAUGUGGGAAGGCCCAGACAGCCAGGAUGUUGGCUUAGAAGCAGCCAUCAUUUAAAGAAAGCGUAAUAGCUCACUGGUCGAGUCGGCCUGCGCGGAAGAUGUAACGGGGCUAAACCAUGCACCGAAGCUGCGGCAGCGACGCUUAUGCGUUGUUGGGUAGGGGAGCGUUCUGUAAGCCUGCGAAGGUGUGCUGUGAGGCAUGCUGGAGGUAUCAGAAGUGCGAAUGCUGACAUAAGUAACGAUAAAGCGGGUGAAAAGCCCGCUCGCCGGAAGACCAAGGGUUCCUGUCCAACGUUAAUCGGGGCAGGGUGAGUCGACCCCUAAGGCGAGGCCGAAAGGCGUAGUCGAUGGGAAACAGGUUAAUAUUCCUGUACUUGGUGUUACUGCGAAGGGGGGACGGAGAAGGCUAUGUUGGCCGGGCGACGGUUGUCCCGGUUUAAGCGUGUAGGCUGGUUUUCCAGGCAAAUCCGGAAAAUCAAGGCUGAGGCGUGAUGACGAGGCACUACGGUGCUGAAGCAACAAAUGCCCUGCUUCCAGGAAAAGCCUCUAAGCAUCAGGUAACAUCAAAUCGUACCCCAAACCGACACAGGUGGUCAGGUAGAGAAUACCAAGGCGCUUGAGAGAACUCGGGUGAAGGAACUAGGCAAAAUGGUGCCGUAACUUCGGGAGAAGGCACGCUGAUAUGUAGGUGAAGUCCCUCGCGGAUGGAGCUGAAAUCAGUCGAAGAUACCAGCUGGCUGCAACUGUUUAUUAAAAACACAGCACUGUGCAAACACGAAAGUGGACGUAUACGGUGUGACGCCUGCCCGGUGC